CCUACGGGCGGUAGCAGUGAGGAAUAUUGGUCAAUGGGCGAGAGCCUGAACCAGCCAAGUCGCGUGAGGGAGUACUGCCCUAUGGGUUGUAAACCUCUUUUGUCGGGGAGCAAAAGCCGGACGUGUCCGGCUGUGAGAGUACCCGAAGAAAAAGCAUCGGCUAACUCCGUGCCAGCAGCCGCGGUAAUACGGAGGAUGCGAGCGUUAUCCGGAUUUAUUGGGUUUAAAGGGUGCGCAGGCGGAUUUUUAAGUCAGCGGUAAAAUCGUGGGGCUCAACCCCAUCCAGCCGUUGAAACUGGGGAUCUAGAGUGUGCGAGAGGUAGGCGGAAUGCGUGGUGUAGCGGUGAAAUGCAUAGAUAUCACGCAGAACCCCGAUUGCGAAGGCAGCAUACCGGUGCACAACUGACGCUCAGGCACGAAAGCGUGGGUAUCGAACAGGAUUAGAUACCCGAGUAGUC
rnacentral:rRNA from 1 species